GACGUAGGGCGCGAGCGUUGUCCGGAUUUAUUGGGCGUAAAGAGCUCGUAGGCGGCUUGUUAUCGUCGUUCGUGAAAACUUGGGGCUCAACCCCCAAGCUUGCGGUCGAUACGGGCAGGCUAGAGUUCGGUAGGGGAGACUGGAAUUCCUGGUGUAGCGGUGAAAUGCGCAGAUAUCAGGAGGAACACCGGUGGCGAAGGCGGGUCUCUGGGCCGAUACUGACGCUGAGGAGCGAAAGCGUGGGGAGCGAACAGG
rnacentral:rRNA from 1 species